rnacentral:lncRNA from 1 species
UAGAUCCAAUAUAAUUAUAGAUUUACAGGUGAUGUAAAGAAAUAAUUAAAACCUAAGAAGACCUAAAUUAAAUCUCCUUAUAUAAAUAUUAAGUCAAGAGGUCUUCCAUCAUUGUAAAUGUGUAGGCUCUUCCGGAUAUUGAUUGUUUUUAGUUGGAUAUAGUGCUUCAGUUAUAUCAAGAAAAAUACAACCACCCUUUAGCAUGAGAUGCUCUGGGAUAAAGAUGGGGUUGGACUCAAUAACUGUUAGGUGCGGGAUCUAAUGAUGGCUUUACAUUUGAUUAUGAAUGGUGGAUCUGACUUAACUAAAGAAUGAGAUCAAUAACUGUUAAGUGAGGCUUCAAAAAUUAGAGAUCGAUGACCACUACUAUUUGCUUGAGAAGCAUUGGAUAAGAGUUAUCCACUCAUUAGUUGACACUUCAUCAAUAAUUAUUAGGUGAGGAGGUGUGUCAAUUG